rnacentral:rRNA from 1 species
GAGUAAAGAUUUCGGUCGCUUUGGGAGGAGCUCGCUUACCAUCAGCUUGUUGGUAGGGUAAUGGCCUACCAAGGCUAUGACGGUUAGGGGGUGUGAGAGCAUGACCCCCAGCAUUGGCACUGAAACACUGGCCAAACACCUACGGGUGGCUGCAGUCGAGAAUCUUCCACAAUGGGGGAAACCCUGAUGGAGCGAUGCUGCGUGCGGGAUGAAGGCCUUCGGGUUGUAAACCGCUUUUGUAGGGGACGAAAUUUUUGACGGUACCCUUUCGAAUAAGAGGUUGCUAACUCUGUGCCAGCAGCAGCGGUAAUACAGAGACCUCAAGCGUUAUCCGGAUUUACUGGGCGUAAAGCGUCUGUAGGGGGUUUAUUAAGUUCCAAGUAAAAUUUCAAGGCUCAACUUUGAAUUCGCUUGGAAAACUAAUAAACUGGAGUCUAGCAGAGGUGCAUGGAACUUGUGGUGUAGGAGUGAAAUCCGUUGAUAUCACAAGGAACACCAGAGGCGAAGGCAUUGCACUGGGCUAGCACUGACCCUGAGAGACGAAAGCGUGGGGAGCAAAACGGAUUAGAUACCCGUGUAGUCCACGCCCUAAACGAUGAAUGCUAAAUGUUCGGGGAUUCGACCCCCUGGGUGUUACAGCUAACGCGUUAAGCAUUCCGCCUGGGAAGUACGGCCGCAAGGCUAAAACUCAAAGGAAUAGACGGGGAUCCGCACAAGCGGUGGAGCGUCUGGUUUAAUUCGACAGUAAGCGUGGUACCUCACCAGGGUUUGACAUCCCUUGACAGCCUUGGAAACAAGGUUUCCUUCGGGCAAGGUGACAGGUGCUGCAUGGUCGUCGUCAGUUCGUGCCGUGAGGUGUUCCGUUAAGUCGGGAAACGAACGAAACCCCUAUUGCAUGUUACAAUUUCUCAUGCAAGACUGCCCGGAUAUACUGGGAGGAAGGUGGGGAUGACGUCAGAUCUGCAUGGUCCUUAUACCCUGGGCGACACAGGCGCUACAAUGGCAGAGACAAAGGGUUGCAAAACCGCAAGGUGAAGCUAAUCCCAAAAACUUUGUCUAAGUUCGGAUUGAAGGCUGCAAUUCGCCUUCAUGAAGCUGGAAUCGCUAGUAAUCGUGAAUCAGCCACGUCACGGUGAUAUGUUCCCGGAUCUUGUACUCACCGCCCGUCACACCAAGAGAGUUGGUAGCUCCCG